AAACCAACCGGGAUUGCCUUAGUAACGGCGAGUGAAGCGGCAAAAGCUCAAAUUUGAAAUCUGGUACCUUCGGUGCCCGAGUUGUAAUUUGGAGAGGGCAACUUUGGGGCCGUUCCUUGUCUAUGUUCCUUGGAACAGGACGUCAUAGAGGGUGAGAAUCCCGUGUGGCGAGGAGUGCGGUUCUUUGUAAAGUGCCUUCGAAGAGUCGAGUUGUUUGGGAAUGCAGCUCUAAGUGGGUGGUAAAUUCCAUCUAAAGCUAAAUAUUGGCGAGAGACCGAUAGCGAACAAGUACAGUGAUGGAAAGAUGAAAAGAACUUUGAAAAGAGAGUGAAAAAGUACGUGAAAUUGUUGAAAGGGAAGGGCAUUUGAUCAGACAUGGUGUUUUGUGCCCUCUGCUCCUUGUGGGUAGGGGAAUCUCGCAUUUCACUGGGCCAGCAUCAGUUUUGGUGGCAGGAUAAAUCCAUAGGAAUGUAGCUUGCCUCGGUAAGUAUUAUAGCCUGUGGGAAUACUGCCAGCUGGGACUGAGGUCUGCGACGUAAGUCAAGGAUGCUGGCAUAAUGGUUAUAUGCCGC
rnacentral:rRNA from 1 species